CAGCCAUAAAUCAACCUCUAUGAGAGCAUGCUGAAUCCCUGUUGAAUAGCACUUAGAUCAUUCUUGUUCAGCUUGAGUGUUGGUAAUCUUUUGCCUAUAGAACUGAAGAAAAAUUAGCGAAUUUAGAAAUUAUUUACAAGUUCAACAGAUCGUUUGGGUCUGCAUUUUGUUGAUCUUCAUAUGAAUAUUUGAAUAAUUCAUACUUUUUGUCACGUACUGCUCUAUGUUUAGAAGGUGUUUCCUUAAAUGUCAGAAGUGUCUGUCUACAGAACGUACGUGGGGCAGUCUUUUGUAAAGAGGAGAUUGCCUUUUAUCGGCAUGCAGAAAAGUCUUUGAUAUCUGGGGUCUUGAGGCACUUACCCAUGUAUGCUCCUGGAGGGCAGAUAUUUCACCGAACCACAGGCUGGAAGGACCUCUGGAUCCAUCUGGUCCAACACCUGCUCACGCAAGGACACCCAAAGCAGGAUGCCCAGGCCCAUGUCUAGGUGGGAGGUUCCAAGUCAUCUCUAGGUAAUGCCAGAGUAACUGCA
ensembl:lncRNA